UCGUAAACCUGGCCGAUGGUAACGGCAACACAGCGCUCCACUACAGCGUGUCCCACUCCAACUUCCCUGUGGUCAAACUGCUGCUGGACACUGGUCUGUGUGAGGUGGACACCCAGAACAAGGCAGGCUACACAGCGGUGAUGCUGGCCUCUCUGACAGCUGCUGAUGGAUCAGACGACAUGGAGGUGGCUCUACAGCUACUGAGACAGGGAGAUGUCAAUGCCCGAGCCAGCCAGGCAAGGCAGACGCCCUCAUGCUGGCCGUCAGCCAUGGUCGUACAGCCAUGGUGCGGUUGCUGCUGAGCUGCCAGGCUGACCUCAACAUUCAGGACAAAGACGGUUCAACCGCACUCAUAUGUGCGUGUGAGCACAGUCACGUGGAGAUCGCUCGGAUACUACUCGAGUCUGACCACGUGUGACACCAGCCUCACAGACAAGGAUGGUCAGAGUGCUCUUUCGGUUGCGGUGGCGGCCUCCCACAGUGAGCUAGUUGACCUUCUGAAGACCCAUUCUGACUCCACCACCCAGGCCUCUAACCUCUCCUCCACCACCACCUCAGCCACCAUUAUCACCACCACCAUCGCCUCUCUCCUCUGAGUCCUCUCCAGAAUCCCCUCUCUAACCACUAUCCCACCCCAACACCGGACUUUCCCACCCUAGACCCACCAUAGCCCGGACCCCAUUCGCCAGACCCAACCAUACCCCAGAACCCGUGGAGGACAGACAAAGGCUGUAUUCACCACCACUCAGCUCACAGGCCUACCGGACCUGUGCUGCAAGGAACCAGAAUAACACACAUUCUUCACAUUUCUGCCAAUAUUCCGUGGGCGGGACUCUGGAGUUAUGUAUCAACCGUUUGGCAGCCAGCCAAUCAGAGAGGGACCUGUGUGUGUCAAUCAAAGAACCCGUAGCCGUGGCGACAGUGGGGAUCGACASGUGAUCCAUGAAGAGUGCAGAAAGACAACAGAAGGAUGAUGGAUUGAUGCUUUCCAAAAAAAAAUGCUCUUCAGGCAAAAAUCACACAUGAUCUACCUUCAAAAUGUGUCAUYAUAUUAUCAAUAAUAUGUUUUUUCUUCCUUUUUAUUCCAUUGAUGACAUUACUAUUAUUUUAUAUUUGGACAUAAGCCAUUUAUUAAACCAUAAAGUCAAUGUUAUAAUAGCGUUUUAUCAGAUACACAAACUAUAUUUAUUUUGCGUUGCACUUUGUUUUACUCUGUUUGAUUGAUAUUCACACUGUACAUAUCAUAUCCAUGCUUGGUUUGUUUUCAUCAGUAUGACUUAACGAUUGACUCACUGGGARGUCUUCCAACAUGAAGGGUGUAUAGUAGGAUGCAGCAUGCAGCAKUAUAAUAACAAAAGGCAGAAUCUUCCGAAGCUACUAAACUGCAGUAUGUUGUAGWAACUCUCCACUUACUACUCUUCUCAACUAUCUACAACUAUUUUUCUCUUUCUCGCUCUCAUGCACUAGCCUGGUCUCAGAGCGUUUCAUAUGUUUCUGUCCGUACAGUAAAUCCUAGACACUCCAUUUAGUAUAUGUUACGUUUCGUAUGGUAUGUAUUCAAAUGUGGUUAUCCAUCACCCAUAUCGUAUGAUAUAUUACAAAUUACAAUUCAUAUUAUAUGUUACGAAUUUUCAUAACAAACAAUAUUUAAUGAAUUUGCUAAACGUACGAUAUGUAACGAAUUCUAGCUAGGUGGCUAAUGUUAGCUAGCGCGCUAACAUUAGCUAGGCUAGUGGUUAGGGUUAAUUA